AUUGAACGCUGGCGGCAUGCCUUACGCAUGCAAGUCGAACGGCAGCAUGAUCUAGCUUGCUAGAUUGAUGGCGAGUGGCGAACGGGUGAGUAAUACAUCGGAACGUGCCCUGUAGUGGGGGAUAACUAGUCGAAAGAUUAGCUAAUACCGCAUACGACCUGAGGGUGAAAGUGGGGGACCGCAAGGCCUCAUGCUAUAGGAGCGGCCGAUGUCUGAUUAGCUAGUUGGUGAGGUAAAGGCUCACCAAGGCGACGAUCAGUAGCUGGUAUGAGGGGACGAUCAGCCACACUGGGACUGAGACACGGCCCAGACUCCUACGGGAGGCAGCAGUGGGGAAUUUUGGACAAUGGGGGCAACCCUGAUCCAGCAAUGCCGCGUGUGUGAAGAAGGCCUUCGGGUUGUAAAGCACUUUUGUCCGGAAAGAAACCGCACUUACUAAUAUUAGGUGUGGAUGACGGUACCGGAAGAAUAAGGACCGGCUAACUACGUGCCAGCCGCCGCAGUAAUAC
rnacentral:rRNA from 1 species